rnacentral:rRNA from 1 species
AUUGAACGCUGGCGGCAGGCCUAACACAUGCAAGUCGAACGGAGCGGCAGACGGGUGAGUAAUACCUAGGCAUCUGCCUGGUAGUGGGGGAUAACGUCCGGAAACGGGCGCUAAUACCGCAUACUAUCAGAUGAGCCUAGGUCGGAUUAGCUAGUGGGUGGGUUAAAGGCCUACCAAGGCGACGAUCCGUAACUGGUCUGAGAGGAGGAUCAGUCACACUGGAACGGGGACACGGUCCAACCUCCUACGGGAGGCAGCAGUGGGGAAUAUUGGAAAAGGGGCGAAAGCCUGAGCCAGCCAUGCCGCUGGGUGGAAGAAGGUCUUCGGAUUGUAAAGCCCUUUAAGUGGGGAGGCGGUACCAACAGAAUAAGCACCGGCUAACUUCGUGCCAGCAGCCGCGGUAAUUC